rnacentral:lncRNA from 1 species
UUUAAGGAAUUGAUCUGGCAGCUUCAAUUGACAACCAGCAUCUCUGAACUUUUCCCCAGGUCUGCGCUAUACUUUAAUCUGGUCAUGUGCAUUCCUACAUGGCAUGGGAUAUUUGAAAGUUGAUCAUUUACCUUCAGCAGAAUGUAGUCAGCUGCUGGAAAGCUCAUAGCCACUUCCCCACUUCCUCACCUCGCCUUGCCUACACCAUGCUUGCUUAGGUUUUUAUAAAUGUCCUUUAUUCUUGGUGUCUCUUGCUGUUCUGAGGUAUAGAACCAGAUUCAGGAAAUCCACAAAACUUGCCUAUGACUUUGGGAUUUGUUUUCACAAGUAAGCAGAAAGGAUGUUUCCUCAUAUUGGAGAAAUCUGGCCUGGAUAGGACAUGGAAGUUUAUCUGUGACUUCCAAAUUCCCAGACCUCAAGGACUCUUCUGAACCCAUCUAGGAUGCACAGUGAUGUCUCUCCAUCUUUAUUUGAAAUUUUGUUCUUGCUUAGUUAGCAUCAGUAAGAAUAAUUCCUCCUGUCUCUGAUGUCAUUUUUUGGUCCUGCUUUCAUCUUGUUUCUUCAUCCUACUCCUUCAACACUGCUGUUCUCCAGGCUUCCACACACGAUUCUCCCGAGAUGAGAUAUAUGUUUCUUUGAUGAUCUUAUCUCCUCCUCUCAUCAAACAAGAGCCUCACUUAUGCAGGUAACUCCCCUGAUAAAGCUCAGUCUGGCUUUCCUACUGUUUAUUUUUACAUUUGCCUGCUGUUCCUGUACAUUUCAAACUUGAUGUCCCACCAGCAUCCUUUGCCAUGUUCUGAAGGGACCCAGCUUUCUUUCCUUAUUAACUUGUUCCUUAUUUAUGUUUUUAUGUUGGUUGAUGUUAUUGCUCUGUUCUCAGUUAACUAAGCUCUCCCUACAGUUUUCAUUUUCCACAUCCUGCUUUUCUCACAUGACCACAUCCUUCUGUUCUGUCUGUGUCUGUCUACCACAUUUCUUUUUCCCCCCUACGUUGCACAAGCCACAUCACCUUACUUUAAGUCCUCAUCAAGCAUCAUUUGCACUAGUGCAGUUAUCUCCCAAUCUGUCUCCCAGAAUCCAUCUUACAGGCUUACCUGGUUGCUCAGUGGUGAAGAACACACCUGCCCAUGCAGGAGAUGCAGACUUCAUCCCUGGGUCAGGAAGCUCCCUGGGAGAAGGAAAUGGCAACCCACUCUGGCAUUUUUGCCUGGGAAAUCCCAUGGACAGAGGAGCCUGCUGCACUGCAGUCCAUGAGGUCACAAAGAGUAGGACAAGACCUAGUGACAAUCCAACAAUCUGUCUUACAUGCCUCAGCUACCCUGCCUCUCUUGCUGUUAGAGGAAUCUUUCUAGUCUUCAAAAUUGAUUGUAUCACUUCUAGGAGUAUUACUACCGGUGUGACUCACGCUCUCAAUUCUUCCAUUUCUUUCGCUGCAACAUGCAGACAGUAGUACUUCCUCAUAGUAUUGUGUUCAAAAUCAAGUGGACAAAUCAGGAGAAGUGCCUGGCACACAUUAAGUGCUCAAGAAAAUAUGUGCUCACUUAUUCUGAAUGCUUGAUAUUCCUCCAAACUGGACUUUUUCAGUUUUCUGACCAUACCCUUGUCCCUCUCAUCUCUGGCCCUUCACAGAUACUUCUUCCUGGAAGCCUUUCCCUCCUUUAGCAGAAUAAUUUCUAAUCAUCUCUUGUGUUUCCACUUAUCACUAGAUGACAUCUCUGAUACUUGGAGAGCCAGUGUCAGUGCCACGUGCUCCCAAAGCAUCCUCCGCCUCCUCAAUCUAUGGAUAUCUUUAUAUUUUAGGCACUGUGAGAAUCCAGCACAGUACCUGGCAUAUAGAAAUGCCUUAAUAUUUUUGAGUGAAAGGAUAAUGAUGUAUGUUUUAAAGGUUCAGAGUAUAGGCUUUUAGAUUGGCCCAUAUUAUCUUUUAUAGUUAAAUUUGGUUACUUGUAAUUCAGCCCUCAUGAUAGAACACUGCAGCUCAGUCACCUGCUGUGCCUAUUAACAGAACUCAAAUCAGGAUGCCUGAAUUCUGGUUGCUCUGAUCCACUAUAAAACUAACAUGGAUUCAAUCAAUGGAAAUGAAUCCCCACCUGUUUUGUAUCAUUACUUUCUUCUAACAUGAUCUCUGACCUGAUAUUUAUUUACAUAGCCAACAAUCUGGUUAAUCUGUGAGAUCAUUAUUCAUAUCCUGUCUUCAGCACCAUGCUGGCUAUUCUCAGUUGCCAACUGCCCCCCACCCCUCCAUUCUCUGCUUUUAGUUGUCCUGCCCUUGAAGCCUGACCCCUGUGGACCAUAUCACCUGGGCUCCCUUCUUCCUGGCUUCCCUGGGGUCCAGCCAAUGGAGUCCAGGAAGGAGGUGAUGGGCAGAAGAGGCAGUUCCUACUGGGAGACAUUCCCUCCUCAUGUCCUGGUAGCUACCAUUCUAACUGUACAUCUGAUUAUAUCAUUUUUUCUUGCUCCUUCAAGUCUAGUGGUAAAAUUAAUGGCUUUCUGAAUUCCCACUGUUUUUAAUCUUGGAGACCUGAAAAAGUCACUGUAGAUUUUUCUAAACUUUGCCCAUACCUCUGUAAAUAGACCCUUUAAAAUUUUACUUCAAAAUCUCAGCUGAGAAUUUCCAGCUCUUCUUACCUGCUGAGAUUGCUGCUACUGCUGCUGCUGCUGCUAAGUCGCUUCAGUCGUGUCCGACUCUGUGUGACCCCAUAGACGGUAGCCCACCAGGCUCCCCCACCCCUGGGAUUCUCCAGGCAAGAACACUGGAGUGGGUUGCAAUUUCCUUCUCCAAUGCAUGAAAGUGAGAAGUGAAAGUGAAGUCGCUCAGUCGUGUCCGACUCUUAGCGACCCCAUGGACUGCAGCCCACCAGGCUCCUCCAUCCAUGGGAUUUUCCAGGCAAGAGUACUGGAGUGGGGUGCCAUUGCCUUCUCUGCCUGCUGAGAUUACAUAUGAUUAAAGGAAUCUUCUGACAAAUAAAUGAUAUUGAUAAAUCAGAAUUUGUUAACUAAG